CCAGCCCGCGCGGCACGGACGAUUGCGCCAGCGCUUCGUUCUCCGCCGCCUCGCCGUCCAUCAGGAGCUGCGCCGCGCGUUCGGCCAGCUUCUGGCCGGCGUCGGUCAGCGCCAGUUGCCGCGAGGUGCGGUUGAACAGCCGCGCGCCGAGCCGCUCCUCAAGGCGGCUGACGGCCUUGGAAACCGUCGCCUUCGACAGCGCCAGCNNNNNNNCCGGCAAAUGACCGCAUUUCCACAACUUUUGCGAAGAUCGCCAGCGCCUCGAAGUCCGGGAGCCUGGAC
rnacentral:misc_RNA from 1 species